rnacentral:rRNA from 1 species
UACAGAGGGUGCAAGCGUUGUUCGGGAUUACUGGGCGUAAAGGGCGCGUAGGCGGCCUUCUAAGUCGGACGUGAAAUCCCUCGGCUUAACCGAGGAACUGCGUCCGAUACUGAAAGGCUUGAAUCCGGGAGAGGGAUGUGGAAUUCCAGGUGUAGCGGUGAAAUGCGUAGAUAUCCGGAGGAACACCGGUGGCGAAGGCGGCUGCCUGGCCCACAACUGACGCUGAGGUGCGAAAGCGUGGGGAGCGAACGGG